rnacentral:rRNA from 1 species
CCUACGGGAUGCAGCAGUGAGGAAUAUUGGUCAAUGGACGAGAGUCUGAACCAGCCCAGUAGCGUGAAGGAUGACUGCCCUAUGGGUUGUACACUUCUUUUAUAUGGGAAUAAAACAGGGUAUGCAUACCCUCUUGUAUGUACCAUAUGAAUAAGGAUCGGGUAACUCCGUUCCAGCAGCCGCGGUAAUACGGAGGAUCCGAGCGUUAUCCGGAUUUCUUGGGUUUAAAGGGAGCGUAGGUGGAUUGUUAAGUCAGUUGUGAAAGUUUGCGGCUCAACCGUAAAAUUGCAGUUGAAACUGGCAGUCUUGAGUACAGUAGAGGUGGGCGGAAUUCGUGGUGUAGCGGUGAAAUGCUUAGAUAGCACGAAGAACUCCGAUUGCGAAGGCAGCUCACUGGACUGCAACUGACACUGAUGCUCGAAAGUGUGGGUAUCAAACAGGAUUAGAUACCCUUGUAGUC